AGAGUUUGAUCCUGGCUCAGGACGAACGCUGGCGGCGUGCUUAACACAUGCAAGUCGAACGGGAGGAAAAGAGAAGCUUGCUUCUUUUUGAAUCUAGUGGCAAACGGGUGAGUAACACGUAAACAACCUGCCUUCAGGAUGGGGACAACAGACGGAAACGACUGCUAAUACCGAAUGUGUUCCGGAGACCGCAUGAUUUCCGGAAGAAAGGAUGGCCUCUAUUUAUAAGCUAUCGCCUGAAGAGGGGUUUGCGUCUGAUUAGGCAGUUGGUGAGGUAACGGCCCACCAAACCUACGAUCAGUAGCCGGUCUGAGAGGAUGAACGGCCACACUGGAACUGAGACACGGUCCAGACUCCUACGGGAGGCAGCAGUGGGGAAUCUUCCGCAAUGGACGAAAGUCUGACGGAGCAACGCCGCGUGAGUGAUGACGGCCUUCGGGUUGUAAAGCUCUGUGAUCGGGGACGAAUGGCUGGUAUGCUAAUACCAUAUCAGAGUGACGGUACCCGAAUAGCAAGCCACGGCUAACUACGUGCCAGCAGCCGCGGUAAUACGUAGGUGGCAAGCGUUGUCCGGAAUUAUUGGGCGUAAAGCGCGCGCAGGCGGCUUCUUAAGUCCAUCUUAAAAGUGCGGGGCUUAACCCCGUGAUGGGAUGGAAACUGGGAGGCUGGAGUAUCGGAGAGGAAAGUGGAAUUCCUAGUGUAGCGGUGAAAUGCGUAGAGAUUAGGAAGAACACCGGUGGCGAAGGCGACUUUCUGGACGACAACUGACGCUGAGGCGCGAAAGCGUGGGGAGCAAACAGGAUUAGAUACCCUGGUAGUCCACGC
rnacentral:rRNA from 1 species